rnacentral:rRNA from 1 species
CCUACGGGUGGCUGCAGUGAGGAAUAUUGGUCAAUGGACGAGAGUCUGAACCAGCCAAGUAGCGUGAAGGAUGACUGCCCUAUGGGUUGUAAACUUCUUUUAUAUGGGAAUAAAAUGUUCCACGUGUGGGAUUUUGUAUGUACCAUAUGAAUAAGGAUCGGCUAACUCCGUGCCAGCAGCCGCUGUAAUACGGAGGAUCCGAGCGUUAUCCGGAUUUAUUGGGUUUAAAGGGAGCGUAGGUGGAUUGUUAAGUCAGUUGUGAAAGUUUGCGGCUCAACCGUAAAAUUGCAGUUGAAACUGGCAGUCUUGAGUACAGUAGAGGUGGGCGGAAUUCGGGGUGUAGCGGUGAAAUGCUUAGAUAUCACGAAGAACUCCGAUUGCGAAGGCAGUUCACUGGACUGCAACUGACACUGAGGCUCGAAAGUGUGGGUAUCAAACAGGAUUAGAUACCCGUGUAGUC